rnacentral:rRNA from 1 species
ACCAGACUCCUACGGGAGGCAGCAGUGAGGAAUAUUGGUCAAUGGAGGCAACUCUUGAACCAGCCAUGCCGUCGUGCAGGAUGACGGUCCUAUGGAUUGUAAACUGUCUUUUGUACGGGAAGAAAUGUAAUUACGUGUAAUUAUUUGACGGUACCGUAAGAAUAAGGAUCGGCUAACUCCGUGCCAGCAGCCGCGGUAAUACGGAGGAUCCGAGCGUUAUCCGGAAUUAUUGGGUUUAAAGGGUUCGUAGGCGGUUGAGUAAGUCAGUGGUGAAAUCUUAUAGCUUAACUAUAAAAUUGCCGUUGAUACUGCUUGACUUGAAUAGUAUGGAAGUAAUUAGUAAUAUGUAGUGUAGCGGUGAAAUGUCUUAGAUAUUACAUGGAAUACCAAUUGCGUAAGGCAGAUUACUACGUACUU